GAAUACCACGUUCAAAAAAUUUGGAAUCCAGGGAACAAGGAACAUUUCCAAAUGAGGAGUCAGCGUCAAAGGGUAACUUAUGUAUUUUUAAAAGUUAAAUGGCGCUAAAAGGAUGUCCUAUAAUGGUAAACCUAAAAAGAGGGACUAAGAGUUACACUUUUAGUCAACGGGGACUUUUUUGUUAGAAUGGCAUCAAAGAGGGGA
rnacentral:lncRNA from 1 species